rnacentral:rRNA from 1 species
UAGGGAAUCUUCCACAAUGGACGAAAGUCUGAUGGAGCAACGCCGCGUGAGUGAAGAAGGGUUUCGGCUCGUAAAGCUCUGUUGGUAGUGAAGAAAGAUAGAGGUAGUAACUGGCUUUUAUUUGACGGUAAUUACUUAGAAAGUCACGGCUAACUACGUGCC